CUGCAUGGCUGUCGUCAGCUCGUGUCGUGAGAUGUUGGGUUAAGUCCCGGCAACGAGCGCAACCCUUGCCUUUAGUUGCCAGCAGUUCGGCUGGGCACUCUAAAGGGACUGCCGGUGUUAAACCGGAGGAAGGUGGGGAUGACGUCAAGUCCUCAUGGCCUUUAUGACCAGGGCUACACACGUACUACAAUGGCCGAUACAAAGGGCAGCGACACUGCGAGGUGAAGCCAAUCCCGUAAAAUCGGUCUCAGUCCGGAUUGGAGUCUGCAACUCGACUCCAUGAAGUUGGAAUCGCUAGUAAUCGUGGAUCAGCAUGCCACGGUGAAUACGUUCCCGGGCCUU
rnacentral:rRNA from 1 species